AUGUUUCUUCAAUACAUUCUCGACAGAAAAAUUGACAUUUCAGUGCAUUUUGAGCUAUUUUGAAAGAAAAUAAAGCGAGUUCCCUUGCAACGAGAAUAAUCCGAUACCGCCGGCGAGCCGUGUUCAUUCAACUUACAACUUGCAAAUUUGAGUUGAUUUUUCCGUCACUUUACAUAUUUUGAUGUAUCUGUCACAGCUUUUUUUAAUGCAAAUUCCACUGGAAACAACGGGUCUUCUGGAGGAUACAAGUACUUGGGCUGGUCCCAACCACCUAGCUACACCCGGGAUGAGGAGAAGAGGUUUCAUACUCGACAAGCGAUGACCUUGGCUUUCCAUUUCUUUCACGAGCAGAAAUGAUACCAAGUUCCAAUGACUUGGGCAUCAGAGCAGCAGUGCCUUGAUCGAUGAGCACUUUGAGACCACCUGAAUAGCAAGCUCUGUAUGGCCAGUUUAUGUGUGACAAAAUAAAAGAUGAGGAAGGGUUGAAAAUCCCUCCAGCUAAGUUAGGGAUCAUGUAAUUGCCAUGGAAACCAAAUGUAGUAACGUAUAACAGGUUGUAUAUUCCUGAAAGUACAAUUGUUGGAUAAAUGUUAAUUUAUAUUGGCACUAAUGUAAUUUUAAGAUCAUCCUUAGCUUUACAUUAACACCAAGAGCAGAGGAUAUUGUUCCCAGUUGGAAUUGUAUCAUAUUUAUUAUCAUAAGAGUAUUAUCAUAAUUGUGGUAAUGUAAUCCUAUUUGAAAUUUUGAACCAGUAUAAAUGUGGGAUAUAAUAUGUUUUAUAUACACUGAAGUUCAAUAUGUGUUACUAUGUGAUUUUAGAUCUGAUCAAGUUUACCUUAAUGUUACUUAAUAAAACCCACUUAACUCCAAAGAAGUAUUUUGAAUAUUUGGUUCUUGCACUAUUUUGUAUCUCUUUUCUCGCUGAAUAUUUACCUUUUAUUGAGAGCUGCGGUGACGGGUUCCAUGACAUUUGCUCUGGCAAAUUCCACACCAUAAUCUUAUGAACAGCUUCAACCAGCAAGGUCUAAACCUAACUUAAAACCAUAUUGCUACCCUGAACCUCUAUCUUAAGGGGCUUUCACAAUUGCUCGUGCGAUUGUUUGCGAUCACUUGGUCACAAUAUAUGUUGCACAGAAUUGCAACUGUGAAGGGUCGUAAGUAGUUGCGCAGCCAAUUGUGAAAAGGGCUUUAGACAAAAUUAAGCCUGGGGUAAUUGUCGCAGGAGCAAAUGUUGUGUCACAUGGUAAUCAGAUGGAGAUGAUUGGAGAGAUGAAGAUGGGGGGGGAGGAUGGAGAUGAAAGGUGGGAUGGUCAUGACGAGGAGUGAUGGAGUUGAGAGGGGUGUGGAUGAUGAGUGGAUGGAGAUGAGAGGAGGGAUGAUACAAGGAUGGAUUGAGAUGAUGAAAGGUGGAAUGGCCAUGAUGAGGAGUGAUGGAGUUGAUGGGAGGGGUGUGGAUGGAGAUGAGAGGAGGGAUGGGAUGAGGCAAGGAUGGAUGGAGAUGAUGUGGAAGGGUUGACAGGAGUAGGGGGUGGAGAUGAGGAAGAGAUUGAAAUGAAAUAGGGAUGGAGAUGCGAAAAUGGUUGGAGAAGACGGGAAUGGAGAUAAUGGGGAUGGAGAUGUCAGGCGGCGUGUUGAUAAUGAGAGAAGAAAGAUAAAAGGGCAGGGGGGUGAUCAUCAUCACAAACAUUGCCUCCACCAACUUCAUCAUCAAUAUCAUUACCAUCAUCGUCAUUAUGAUAUCAUCAUCACCACAAACUUCAUCAUUAUCAUUGGCGUAAUGAGUGAAAGAUUUUGAGGGGUAAGAUAUGGCCCAUCAUGCCAAAGUUAUUUUU
rnacentral:lncRNA from 1 species